AUCCGCGGACCCGGCGUCUGUCUGUCUGUCCGUCCACAGCCUCCACGAAGCCGGUGGCGGAAGACCGAGCAGACAACUGACCGAGACGACAGCGCCUACAAGCGGGUGUUUGUGAUUCCAACAGCCGGCUGGGACAAUGGUGCUGGAAGGGAACGGAAACAGUGGCGCGCUAGCAGCUAGCGUUGAACGUGGUCAGCUAGCAGAUGGAGUUAGCAAGCGGAGAGGGACGGCUGUAGUUCUGUCAGUACUCAGUUCUGUGGAUAUCCAGUUGAAAAGUAUUGACUCCACAUUGAGACAGUGACCGUAACGAUGACCGUGCGUCUGUAUCAUCGUGUAACGUGACACCACUAACCUAGCUAACGAUGACUUUAGCUAAAGGCAGCAUCACACUAUCCCAGUAGGCUGUGAUUUGCAUCUCUUCUCAGGAAAUAAUUAUUUAAACAAACUCGUGCGUGGUGUUGAUUAUAGUUCCCCCGGAUUAACUAACUAUCUGACAGCUGACAGGAAAAUAAAUAAAUUUUAUCCAAAUAUCAUCUACAAAAUAACUAGUUAGUUAAUUCCCAGCCCAGUGAAAUCCUAAUGCAGAUCACAAAUAACAAUACUUUCUGUACAGACUUAGUAAAUUAAUAUUUGUGACCCAGAGCAAAGUGUCACUUCACCCCAGGCUAUAGUGAAUCCAUAUUCAAUCAUGGGCCCUAAAAGAGACCAGUUCCCUUAAACAUUGCUCCUACUGGUAAUGGAUUAACCAGCUCCACCAACACAGACGUUGUGUCCGAGUAAGUUAUCCCAUACUGACCAAAUUAUUAACAUCACAUACUCAAUCAGAUGUGAAACCAUUGCCAUUGGUCAAUUCAAUCUGAAAGAGGGUUUAUUCCCAUUCCUAGGGCACAUUUAGAAGCACUUAAAAAAAUACGAGAGAAGCCGGAUUUAGAUGAACAGCAGAAGAAGGAACACGUUAGAGCAGCUUUCAGAAGCUCCUGCAGGUUAAUCUGGAUUUACCAAACACUUUAAAAGCUGAUUAACUGUGAAAAACUCAUAGUAGAUGUGUUCAAACACACGCAAGCCCAUCCUUCUGCUGAGCAGCAGAUAGUUCAUUUGGUUAAAUGACUGCGCCUGAGUGUUAUAUAUGUUAGGCAAAACCCUGUGUGUGCAUUCCACCGGUUGAGAGCCCCUGUGCCUUUUCAAUAGCUUCACCACACUGUACGUGCACAUUACAGUCACAGUAAAGCUAUGCACCUUUGAAAUUGUGUGUUUGGUGAUUUCCCAUAGUUUUCUUUGUUUUUCUCUUUGUUGUCCUGGAUGUUGGAUCUGUGGACCAGGUGCUGAAAGAAGCACAGAGGAUCCCAGAAGAGAUUCUGAGCAAAGUCAGCAUUGCUACGAGUGAAUGCUUUAUUGUCAUAUUAUAUGAUGUGACAUUAUCGGUAUUAAUGAAACAGUGGCUUGCCUAAAGUGUUCUGUUUAGAUAAAGCAGUUUCAUGAAGUCUUGAGAAAACCUUUUCUUCAUAUCAGGCUUUCAGUUUACUGUUUUGCUUUACUGUUUAGUGUAUCGAGCUCAAAAUAAAUCAUGGACCUCAUAUGCAGACACACACAACAUUGGCCUGGAGGGGUUUCAUGCUUGUUCCUGACUUUGUUUUCACAUUUUGCUUAUUUACACUUAUUGACUUGAGAUCUGAAUAAUUUCUUUCCUUAGGCCUUGCCUACCUGAGAGAAAAACACCAAAUCAUGCACAGAGAUAUGACGCCUUCCAACAUGCUGGUGAAUUCACUUGGUGAGAUCAAGCUGUGUGACUUUGGUGUGAUUGGGCAGCUCAUAGACUCAAUGGCCAAUUCCUUUCGUGGAGACGUGAUCCCUAAUGUCGGACCACUCGUUUAUCAGCGUUCUGAGGUGGAGGAGGAAGAUUCUGCUGGCUGGCUUUGUAAAACUACGGGGCUGAACCAACCAAGCACUCCCACGUGCACUGCAGACUGAACACACAAUCUACUUGCCCUUCAAACAAUUUGUAAAAACACGGAGAAACUGCUGCGUAAAACUGUACACAUACACGUCUUACGUGCCACGUCCUCCUUCAGGUAAACUGUUAAAACCCUGCAGUCAUACAGAUGUAUAUACUAUAUAAAAACUGGAAGAUUCAUCUCUUGUAAUAAUAAUAAUAAAAUAGAUAAAUACAAUAGCUCUGCAUAAUUUCCGUGUCUAUUUUUCCAUGUUGUUUUUUUCUCAUCUUGUUUCUCCAAAUGGUUCUGCGGCUUCCAGUAAGUGUGUCAGCCCCAGUUGGUGGUUAAGUAUCUGUACAUGUGUACAGGCAGAAACAACUAAUUUAUAAGUUUGUUUUUUGUAUGUAUUAUGCAAACAGAAGGGUAAGAAUCAUAUAAUUGUAUUGACCAGUUCAGGUUAUGUGUGUCUGUGUUAGCAAGACAUGAGCAAGUCCAGGAAAUGUUUAAAUCCAUUUGUUGAUGUGACUGAUCUCUUCAGCAUAGUGUUUAAAACAUUUCUGUAUGACACUCACGACAAAGCUUCAAAUGCACCCACCGCCCUCUCUGUGUGCUGGGGUUGUUUAUUAGUUACUGAAAAUGGCGUCCUCAGCCUGUUCUGGUAUCAAUGGCUUCAGAUAAGCGAUGCUGAGGCCGAGGCUGCCUUUGUAAAGACCAGAGAGUCAGACCUUGAAAAGAAGCUUCUGUUACAAGACUGAUUUAUCAAUCUCCUUAGCAAGCUGUGUUGUGAUUCACUGCCGUCGCUCACAGCUGACUAUUUUCUUUGUAUUUUAACAAAACAAACAGACCACGGAUUUGCCAAGUGCCCUCUACAUUGUGUCAGGAUUUGGGCAUUUCAUUCCCUUAGAUUUAUUCAUUUUGUGUAUGUCCUCUUUUUAACUACAAUAGAUGCUCUAUGGUAAAACCGUCCACCAUU